rnacentral:rRNA from 1 species
UAAGGCGAGUCCGACAGGCGUAGUCGAUGGACAACGGGUUGAUAUUCCCGUACCGGCGAAGAACCGCCCCUACCGAACCGGGGACACUAACCACCCGAACCGCACCCGAUGCCGG